rnacentral:rRNA from 1 species
GAUGAACGCUAGCGGCAGGCCUAACACAUGCAAGUCGAGGGGUAACAUGAGUGCUUGCACUUGAUGACGACCGGCGCACGGGUGCGUAACGCGUAUACAAUCUACCUUGUACUGAGGGAUAGCCCAGAGAAAUUUGGAUUAAUACCUCAUAGUAUGUAGAAGUGGCAUCACUUUUACCUUAAAGGUUACGGUACAAGAUGAGUAUGCGUCCUAUUAGUUAGUUGGUGUGGUAACGGCACACCAAGGCUACGAUAGGUAGGGGCCCUGAGAGGGGGAUCCCCCACACUGGUACUGAGACACGGGACCAGACUCCUACGGGAGGCAGCAGUGAGGAAUAUUGGACAAUGGGCGAGAGCCUGAUCCAGCCAUGCCGCGUGCAGGAAGACUGCCCUAUGGGUUGUAAACUGCUUUUAUACAGGAAGAAACACUCCCUCGUGAGGGAAUUUGACGGUACUGUAAGAUAAGGAUCGGCUAACUCCGUGCCAGCCGCCGCGGUAA